AAAGGAAAAACAGGUUAAGCAGCAAAACAGCCAGUGCAGUGGAAUCCCUAACAUGUCCCAUCUUCAAGAAAACUGGUGCUUCUGUGACUGUGCGUCACAAGUGCAAGCUGCAAUUUAUGGAUUGAAGACAGUUGGUCCCUUGAAGAGUCAUGUUCCUGAGAAAACGCAUCAAAAUAUGAUAUGUUUUGCUGGG
rnacentral:lncRNA from 1 species